rnacentral:misc_RNA from 1 species
GAUGAAGAACGCAGCGAAAUGCGAUAAGUAAUGUGAAUUGCAGAAUUCAGUGAAUCAUCGAAUCUUUGAACGCACAUUGCGCCCGCCAGUAUUCUGGCGGCCAUGCCUGUUCGAGCGUCAUUACAACCCUCAGGCCCCCGGGCCUGGCGUUGGGGAUCGGCGGAGCCCCCCGUGGGCACACGCCGUCCCCCAAAUACAGUGGCGGUCCCGCCGCAGCUUCCAUCGCGUAGUAGCUAACACCUCGCGACUGGAGAGCGGCGCGGCCAUGCCGUAAAACACCCAACUCUUCUGAAGUUGACCUCGAAUCAGGUAGGAAUACCCGCUGAACUUAAGCAUAUCAAUAAGCGGAGGA